AACGUAGGAGACAAACGUUAUCCGGAGUUACUGGGCGUAAAGGGCGUGUAGGCGGUAUGUUAAGUCUGGCGUGAAAGCUCUCGGCUAAACCGGGGAGAGGUCGUUGGAUACUGGCACACUAGAGGAUGGUAGAGGCGUGUGGAAUUCCAGGUGUAGCGGUGAAAUGCGUAGAUAUCUGGAGGAACACCGGUGGCGAAGGCGCAUCCUGGACCGGCAUUGACGCUGAGGCGCGAAAAGCCCAGGGGGAGCAAACGGG
rnacentral:rRNA from 1 species